AUAGCACAGUGAAGAGUUUGGUACUUGGUAUAUUUCCUAUAUUUGGUCAUUAUGGAUGCUUCUUAUUAGACAAAACUACCACAGAGUUCAAGUUUGAACCUGAUAAGGGAUAUCAGAUUGAUGAUUUAUUUGAAGGAUAUAUUACCACAUUCCCUGUUGCUGAAGAUUCUCUAAUUAGUUUUUUUCAAUUCAAUGGUUGCAAAUCUGGUAUGUACAAAAGUCUUUUUAA
rnacentral:lncRNA from 1 species